GGGGUUGUGGCUCAGAUGUAGAGCACUUGCCUAGUAUGCAUGAGGUACUGGAUUUGAUCCUCAGCACCA
rnacentral:tRNA from 1 species